GACGAACGCUGGCGGCGUGCUUAAUACAUGCAAGUCGAGCGAGGUUACUGUUUCGGAUCCCUUCGGGGUGAAGAAGCUUUAACCUAGCGGCGGACGGGUGAGUAACGCGUGGGUAACCUACCCCAAAGUCCGGGAUAACAGCGGGAAACCGCUGCUAAUACCGGAUGCCUUUACCUUGGGGCAUCUUGAGGUAAAGAAAGGUAACGCUUUGGGAUGGGCCCGCGUCCCAUUAGCUAGUUGGUGAGGUAACGGCUCACCAAGGCGACGAUGGGUAGCCGGCCUGAGAGGGUGGACGGCCACACUGGGACUGAGACACGGCCCAGACUCCUACGGGAGGCAGCAGUAGGGAAUAUUGCGCAAUGGACGGAAGUCUGACGCAGCGACGCCGCGUGAGCGAUGAAGGUCUUCGGAUCGUAAAGCUCUGUCCUUGGGGAAGAAGGCGAAAGCUUGACGGUACCCAAGAAGAAAGCCCCGGCUAACUACGUGCCAGCAGCCGCGGUAAAUAGACGUACGUCUCGUAGACGGCGG
rnacentral:rRNA from 1 species